rnacentral:misc_RNA from 1 species
GAUGAAGAACGUAGCGAAAUGCGAUAAGUAAUGUGAAUUGCAGAAUUCAGUGAAUCAUCGAAUCUUUGAACGCACAUUGCGCCCGGUAGUAUUCUGCCGGGCAUGCCUGUUCGAGCGUCAUUUCAACCAUCAAGCCCCAGCGCUUGUGUUGGGGGCCUGCGGCUGCCGCAGCCCCCUAAAAGCAGUGGCGGGCUCGCUAUCACACCGAGUGCAGUAGUUCAUCUUCUCUCCGGUCUUGUGAGGCGGGUUCCGGCCGUGACACACCCCACUACAUUCAAGGUUGACCUCGGAUCAGGUAGGAAUACCCGCUGAACUUAAGCAUAUCAAUAAGCGGAGGA